rnacentral:rRNA from 1 species
UACGUAGGGGGCAAGCGUUGUCCGGAUUUAUUGGGCGUAAAGAGCGUGUAGGCGGCCAUUCAGGUCAGCUGUGAAAACUCGAGGCUCAACCUCGAGACGUCGGUUGAAACCGUUUGGCUAGAGUCCGGAAGAGGAGAGUGGAAUUCCCGGUGUAGCGGUGAAAUGCGCAGAUAUCAGGAGGAACACCGGUGGCGAAGGCGGAUCUCUGGGCCAUUACUGACGCUGAGGAGCGAAAGCGUGGGGAGCGAACAGG